UAAGGAAUAUUGCUCAAUGGGAGAAAUCCUGAAGCAGCAACGCCGCGUGGAGGAUGAAGGGUUUUUAACUUGUAAACUCCUGUAAAGAAGGAAAAAAUUCCCAUUAGAUGGGAAAUGAUGGUACUUCUGGAGUAAGCCCCGGCUAACUACGUGCCAGCAGCCGCGGUAAUACGUAGGGGGCAAGCGUUGUCCGGAUUUACUGGGUGUAAAGGGUGCUCAGGCGGAUUUGUAAGUCAGAGGUGAAAUCUCACAGCUUAACUGUGAAACUGCCUUUGAUACUGCAAGCCUAGAGUAUGGAAGAGAGUGAUGGAAUAUCUGGUGUAGCAGUGAAAUGCGUAGAUAUCAGAUAGAACACCAAUGGCGAAGGCAGUCACUUGGUCCAUAACUGACGCUAAAGCACGAAAGCGUGGGUAGCAAACAGGAUUAGAUACCCUGGUAGUCCACGCCCUAAACGAUGAAUACUAGAUGUUGGCUUCGCAUGAAGUCAGUAUCUGAGCUAACGCAUUAAGUAUUCCACCUGGAAGUACGAUCGCAAGGUUGAAACUUAAAGGAAUUGACGGGGUCAUA
rnacentral:rRNA from 1 species